rnacentral:rRNA from 1 species
UACGUAGGGUGCAAGCGUUAAUCGGAAUUACUGGGCGUAAAGCGCGCGCAGGCGGUCUUCCAAGUCAGUGGUGAAAGCCCGGAGCUCAACUCCGGAACUGCCAUUGAAACUGUUGGACUUGAGUACGAGAGAGGUGAGUGGAAUUCCCAGUGUAGAGGUGAAAUUCGUAGAUAUUGGGAAGAACACCGGUGGCGAAGGCGGCUCACUGGCUCGUAACUGACGCUCAGGCGCGACAGCGUGGGGGAUCAAACAGG